GAGGAGAAUAAUUCGCAAUGGGCGAAAGCCUGACGGUGCGACGCCGCGUGAGGGAUGAAGGCCUUCGGGUUGUAAACCUCUGUCAGGAGUAGGGAACGGCGGGGGCGCUAAUAGCGCUUCCGCGUGACUAAGGCUCCAAAGGAAGCGCCGGCUAACUACGUGCCAGCAGCCGCGGUAAUACGUAGGGCGCAAGCGUUACUCGGAAUCACUGGGCAUAAAGGGCGUGUAGGCGGAUACGUAAGUCCGGUGUGAAAGCCCCCGGCUCAACUGGGGAAAGUCAUUGGAUACUGCGUGUCUCGAGUGCGGGAGGGGAGAGUGGAACUCUUGGUGGAGCGGUGAAAUGCGUAGAUAUCAAGAGGAACGCCGGUGGCGAAAGCGGCUCUCUGGCCCGUUACUGACGCUGAGGCGCGAAAGCUAGGGGAGCAAACGGGAUUAGAAACCCGUGUAGUCC
rnacentral:rRNA from 1 species